rnacentral:rRNA from 1 species
AUGAAGACCUUACUCAUCCAAACAAUCCUCGUGAUGGCAAUAACCAUCGCCACCGCCAAUAUGCAGGUCGACCCUAGCGGCCAAGUACCAUGGCCACAACAACAACCAUUCCCGCAGCCUCACCAACCAUUCUCCCAGCAACCGCAACAAACAUUUCCCCAACCCCAACAAACAUUCCCCCAUCAACCACAACAACAAUUUUCCCAGCCUCAGCAACCACAACAACAAUUUAUCCAGCCCCAACAACCAUUCCCCCAACAACCACAACAAACAUAUCCCCAGCGACCACAACAACCAUUCCCCCAGACUCAACAACCCCAACAACCAUUUCCCCAGUCCCAGCAACCACAACAACCUUUUCCCCAGCCCCAACAACAAUUCCCGCAGCCCCAACAACCACAACAAUCAUUCCCCCAACAACAACCAUCGUUGAUUCAACAAUCUCUACAACAACAGUUGAACCCAUGCAAGAAUUUCCUCUUGCAACAAUGCAAACCUGUGUCCUUGGUGUCAUCCCUCUGGUCAAUGAUCUUGCCACGAAGCGAUUGCCAGGUGAUGCGGCAACAAUGUUGCCAACAACUAGCACAAAUUCCUCAGCAACUCCAGUGUGCAGCCAUCCAUAGCAUCGUGCAUUCCAUCAUCAUGCAGCAAGAACAACAAGAACAACGACAGGGUGUGCAAAUCCUGGUGCCACUGUCUCAACAGCAACAGGUAGGUCAAGGUACUCUCGUCCAAGGUCAGGGCAUCAUCCAACCUCAACAACCAGCUCAAUUGGAGGUGAUUAGGUCAUUGGUGUUGCAAACUCUUGCAACCAUGUGCAACGUGUAUGUCCCACCUUACUGCUCCACCAUCAGGGCACCAUUUGCCAGCAUAGUCGCCGGCAUUGGUGGCCAAUGA